GCUUACACAUGCAAGUCGAGCGGAAAGGCCCUUCGGGGUACUCGAGCGGCGAACGGGUGAGUAACACGUGAGUAACCUGCCCCUGACUCUGGGAUAAGCCUGGGAAACCGGGUCUAAUACCGGAUAUGACACUCCUCCGCAUGGUGUGGGUGUGGAAAGUUUUUUCGGUUGGGGAUGGACUCGCGGCCUAUCAGCUUGUUGGUGGGGUGAUGGCCUACCAAGGCGACGACGGGUAGCCGGCCUGAGAGGGCGACCGGCCACACUGGGACUGAGACACGGCCCAGACUCCUACGGGAGGCAGCAGUGGGGAAUAUUGCGCAAUGGGCGGAAGCCUGACGCAGCGACGCCGCGUGGGGGAUGACGGCCUUCGGGUUGUAAACCUCUUUCAGCAGGGACGAAGUUGACGUGUACCUGUAGAAGAAGCGCCGGCUAACUACGUGCCAGCAGCCGCGGUAAUACGUAGGGCGCGAGCGUUGUCCGGAAUUAUUGGGCGUAAAGAGCUCGUAGGUGGCUUGUUGCGUCUGCCGUGAAAGCCCGUGGCUUAACUACGGGUCUGCGGUGGAUACGGGCAGGCUAGAGGCUGGUAGGGGCAAGCGGAAUUCCUGGUGUAGCGGUGAAAUGCGCAGAUAUCAGGAGGAACACCGGUGGCGAAGGCGGCUUGCUGGGCCAGUUCUGACGCUGAGGAGCGAAAGCGUGGGGGAGCAAACAGA
rnacentral:rRNA from 1 species